rnacentral:rRNA from 2 species
ACUGAUUGAUGGUGCUUGCACCUGAUUGACGAUGGAUCACCAGUGAGUGGCGGACGGGUGAGUAACACGUAGGUAACCUGCCCCGGAGCGGGGGAUAACAUUUGGAAACAGAUGCUAAUACCGCAUAACAACAAAAGCCACAUGGCUUUUGUUUGAAAGAUGGCUUUGGCUAUCACUCUGGGAUGGACCUGCGGUGCAUUAGCUAGUUGGUAAGGUAACGGCUUACCAAGGCGAUGAUGCAUAGCCGAGUUGAGAGACUGAUCGGCCACAAUGGAACUGAGACACGGUCCAUACUCCUACGGGAGGCAGCAGUAGGGAAUCUUCCACAAUGGGCGCAAGCCU